CUUUGCACAUGUGUUUUCUAAGUGAAGUUCGUUGGGACUCUGGAGCAUGUAUACGACCCAUACACACCAUCUGCUGACAUUCCUUGCUGCCUGUUGACCUACAGCAUUCACGAUGCCCCAAGAGCACAGACUUGUGGCUGACCCACAACAUGUGGGAGCCCAGUGAGACCCACAGUGAGCACAAGGAGUGGAACCCUGGAACCACUGAGUGAAUGGAAUCAGAAAACCUACCAAGAAGAUGGAAUCAGAUUCUAUUAUUUGUCUCUGCAGUGAACGUGUAUGAUUCUAACAGGCAUUAUUCACGAUAACUAAGAAGUGGGAGUAACCUGAAUGUCCACUGACGGAUGAAUGAAGAAAGAAAAUUUGGUACGUCCAAGCAACAGAAUAUUAUUCAGCCUUAAGAGGACUCAAGUCCUGUCAUGAACCAUGGAUGAAGCUUGAUGUUAUACUGAGUGAAAUAAGCAAGUCACAGAAAGACAAAUAUUAUAUGAAUCCACUUAUUUGAAGUGCAUAGUGUGAUCAGACCCAUAGAAACAGGAAGCAGAAUAGAAUGAGGGUUACCAGGGGCUGGGGACAGGGAAAAGGAGAGUCGUGCAAUGAGUGUAGCAUUUCAGCUUUACAAGAUGGAAAAGUUCUGAAGAUCUGUGAACAACAAGGUGCAUAUAGUUAACACUACUGCGCUGUACACUUAAAAAUGAUUAAGAUGGUAAAUUUUAUGUUUUGUAUUUUGUAACACAAUGAAGAAGAGUCUGGGGACUGGACUGGGGAUAGGAGCAGCAGACCGCCUUGUAAGCUGUUCUGUACU